UGUAUAGCAGAACCUGUUUCGUAUAUCAAGGACAAGGAUGUGCACCGAAUAAAGACUCAUCUCCAUAUAGUCAUAUACUGACCAGUGAUUAUUAAGUACGAGACAUUCAAAGAUCAUCAUCAUUCAGCAUAACAACAGGUAAAGACUAAGAGAGUCGUUUUCAAGAUAAACGUAAUUCUUAAGCAAGAAAAAGACCGUAUUCUGAACAAUGAAUUUUCUGCAUGCUUUUCGAAACCCACCGCGUCAAAUUGGGCAAAUACUUUCGAUGCAAAACAUCAAAGAUCUUGACCCCCGCCGCUGGUUGCCCCAGCGUCCUGCAAGCGUCAUACUAUAUUCUCCCUUGGAUCUUCCAGUUUGUCAGUCCAAUUCUUCUUCGAAUUUCAAGGCGGUUUAUGACUGGCUGAAGCAUUCGGAGUGUUUCAGUCUUAAGAAUGCGGUUGAUUACACAGAUGAACGGAUGACUCAAGAGAAGUCUAAAACAAUUGUCGAUGUGGCGUUUAACACUUUGCUCGAUUCAUUACGCCGUCAGAUUAGUCUAGCAAUAUCCUUAAUGGUUAUCAAACUCGAUAAAAAGGUAAUAAGAUCCGGUAUAUUAUAUUCUAAAAACUUGGCAUUAUACUGUUUACUUACGGGAUUUAAUGCAAUUUAUUAUAGAUAAUGUAUGACGCUGGUAAUCUUUUAAUAACAAUAAGAAUAAUUGUAAAUGUUAAUGUUAAUGGUAUUAAUUCAUUUGUGUUUUACAGUGUUUAUAACACUUUAUAAUAUAAGUAUGAUAUAACGAGCAAUUUGAUUGGCUACC